GAAGGACAUCACUCGCAGAAGAAGCACCGGCUAACUCCGUGCCAGCAGCCGCGGUAAUACGGAGGGUGCAAGCGUUAAUCGGAAUUACUGGGCGUAAAGCGCGCGUAGGCGGCUUGAUAAGCCGGUUGUGAAAGCCCCGGGCUCAACCUGGGAACGGCAUCCGGAACUGUCAGGCUAGAGUGCAGGAGAGGAAGGUAGAAUUCCCGGUGUAGCGGUGAAAUGCGUAGAGAUCGGGAGGAAUACCAGUGGCGAAGGCGGCCUUCUGGACUGACACUGACGCUGAGGUGCGAAAGCGUGGGUAGCAAACAGGAUUAGAUACCCUGGUAGUCCACGCCGUAAACGAUGUCGACUAGCCGUUGGGGUCCUCGAGACCUUUGUGGCGCAGUUAACGCGAUAAGUCGACCGCCUGGGGAGUACGGCCGCAAGGUUAAAACUCAAAUGAAUUGACGGGGGCCCGCACAAGCGGUGGAGCAUGUGGUUUAAUUCGAUGCAACGCGAAGAACCUUACCUACUCUUGACAUCGAGCGAACUUUCCAGAGAUGGAUUGGUGCCUUCGGGAACGCUCAGACAGGUGCUGCAUGGCCGUCGUCAGCUCGUGUUGUGAAAUGUUGGGUUAAGUCCCGUAACGAGCGCAACCCUUGUCCCUAUUUGCCAGCGAUUCGGUCGGGAACUCUAGGGAGACUGCCGGUGACAAACCGGAGGAAGGUGGGGACGACGUCAGGUCAUCAUGGCCCUUACGAGUAGGGCUACACACGUGCUACAAUGGCCGGUACAAUGGGCUGCAAUCCCGCGAGGGGGAGCUAAUCUCAUAAAGCCGGUCUCAGUCCGGAUCGGAGUCUGCAACUCGACUCCGUGAAGUCGGAAUCGCUAGUAAUCGUGCAUCAGAAUGGCACGGUGAAUACGUUCCCGGGCCUUGUACACACCGCCCGUCACACCAUGGGAGUGGACUGCACCAGAAGUGGUUAGCCUAACUUCGGAGGGCGAUCACCACGGUGUGGUU
rnacentral:rRNA from 1 species